rnacentral:rRNA from 1 species
CUAUUGGUUUGGUUGUCUUCGACCAAUCAUGAGUUGGCGACCGGCGCACGGGUGAGUAACGCGUAUCCAACCUACCUCAUACUCCGGGAUAAUCCGAUGAAAGUCGGUCUAAUACCGGAUAUAAUGUAAAGCUGACAUCGAUUUUACAUGAAAGAAUUUUGGUGUGAGAUGGGGAUGCGUCUGAUUAGCUUGUUGGCGGGGUAACGGCCCACCAAGGCAUCGAUCAGUAGGGGUUCUGAGAGGAAGGUCCCCCACAUUGGAACUGAGACACGGUCCAAACUCCUACGGGAGGCAGCAGUGAGGAAUAUUGGUCAAUGGGCGAGAGCCUGAACCAGCCAAGUAGCGUGCAGGAUGACGGCCCUAUGGGUUGUAAACUGCUUUUAUGCGGGGAUAAAGUGUGUCACGUGUGGCAUAUUGCAGGUACCGCAUGAAUAAGGACCGGCUAAUUCCGUGCC